UACGUAGGGGGCAAGCGCUGUCCGGAUUUAUUGGGCGUAAAGAGCGUGUAGGCGGCCUGAAAGGUCAGCUGUGAAAACUCGAGGCUUAACCUCGAGACGUCGGUUGAAACCAUCUGGCUAGAGUCCGGAAGAGGAGUGUGGAAUUCCCGGUGUAGCGGUGAAAUGCGCAGAUAUCGGGAAGAACACCCGUGGCGAAGGCGGCACUCUGGGACGGUACUGACGCUGAGACGCGAAAGCGUGGGGAGCGAACAGG
rnacentral:rRNA from 1 species